rnacentral:tRNA from 1 species
GCCACGGUGGUCUAGCGGUUAUAACGCUGGCCUUGUAAUCCUGGGGUCUCGGGUUCGAAUCCCGGCGGUGCCC